UCGAUUAGCAUGCGAGUCGAGAGGUGCAAGACCUCGGCGCACUGCUCAGUAACACGUGUACAACCUACCCUGUGGAGGGGGAUAACCCCGGAAAACUGGGGAUAAUACCCCAUAGGUUAGGGAGGCUGGAAUGCCCCCUAGCUCAAAGGUCCGCCGCCACAGGAUGGGUCUGCGGCCGAUUAGGUUGUUGUUGGGGUAACGGCCCAACAAGCCUUUGAUCGGUACGGGUUGUGGGAGCAAGAGCCCGGAGAUGGAUUCUGAGACACGAAUCCAGGCCCUACGGGGCGCAGCGGGCGCGAAAACUUUACAAUGCGAGAAAUCGUGAUAAGGGAACCCCGAGUGCCCGUAAAUUCGGGCUGUCCGCCAGUGCAAAAAACUGGUGAAGA
rnacentral:rRNA from 1 species